AUGAUCAUAUCAUGUUGAAACACCAAUUCUCACCUGAUCAGCAAAGUUAAGCAAUAUCAAACCUGGUCAGUACCUAGAUGGGUGACCGCUUGAGAAUAUGAGGUGCUGUAA